CGAGGCUGUAGCUGGCCUUCUCGGAGGCAUCGUGCACGCCCUGCCCGUCCCAUAUCAUACCUGUGAACUUUUUGGUAGGCGGGUUUGUGUCGGCCUCGAAAGGGGUCGACCGGCCCUCCGGCCGUCUUUAUAUACACACCAUACGAGUCUUUAGAAUGUUUGUGCGUCUCGACGCACCUUAUAUAUAACUUUCAGCGACGGAUCUCUUGGCUCUCGCAUCGAUGAAGAACGCAGCGAAACGCGAUAAGUAAUGUGAAUUGCAGAAUUCAGUGAAUCAUCGAAUCUUUGAAUGCACCUUGCGCUCCUCGGUAUUCCGAGGAGCAUGCCUGUUUGAGUGUCAUGAAAUUAUCAACCCCUCCUCCUUCAUCGGCGGUGGGGCUUGGACUUGGAGGCUUUGCGGGCUUUUAACGAGUCGGCUCCUCUCAAAUGCAUUAGCUCGAACCCCUGCGGAUCGGCCGUCGGUGUGAUAUAAUGUCUACGUCGUGGUCGUGAGCGUCGGAUCGGCUUCUAAUGGUCCCCUUUCGGAGGCGGAAUUUGAACUUGUGACCUCAAAUCAGGUAGGACUACCCGCUGAACUUAAGCAUAUCAAUAAG
rnacentral:rRNA from 1 species